rnacentral:rRNA from 1 species
GAUGAACGCUGGCGGCGUGCCUAAUACAUGCAAGUCGAGCGAACGGACGAGAAGCUUGCUUCUCUGAUGUUAGCGGCGGACGGGUGAGUAACACGUGGAUAACCUACCUAUAAGACUGGGAUAACUUCGGGAAACCGGAGCUAAUACCGGAUAAUAUUUUGAACCGCAUGGUUCAUAAGUGAAAGACGGUCUUGCUGUCACUUAUAGAUGGAUCCGCGCUGCAUUAGCUAGUUGGUAAGGUAACGGCUUACCAAGGCAACGAUGCAUAGCCGACCUGAGAGGGUGAUCGGCCACACUGGAACUGAGACACGGUCCAGACGCCUACGGGAGGCAGCAGUAGGGAAUCUUCCGCAAUGGGCGAAAGCCUGACGGAGCAACGCCGCGUGAGUGAUGAAGGUCUUCGGAUCGUAAAACUCUGUUAUUAGGGAAGAACAUAUGUGUAAGUAACUGUGCACAUCUUGACGGUACCUAAUCAGAAAGCCACGGCUAACUACGUG